UACGAAGGGUGCAAACGUUGCUCGGAAUCAUAGGGCGUAAAGCGCACGUAGGCGGCUUUGCAAGUCUGACGUGAAAUCCCUCAGCUCAACUGAGGAAGUGCAUCGGAAACUGCAAGGCUUGAGUACUGAAGAGGAUCGCGGAAUUCCCGGUGUAGAGGUGAAAUUCGUAGAUAUCGGGAGGAACACCAGUGGCGAAGGCGGCGAUCUGGGCAGAUACUGACGCUGAGGUGCGAAAGCGUGGGGAGCAAACAGG
rnacentral:rRNA from 1 species